UUUUCUUCAGAACAGAGGCUGAGCUCGAAGCGCCGGGUAGUACAGUGAGGGAGAGCCGAGGGAACCAGCGCGGUGCCUAGCGGAACUCCAGGGCUGGAAUCCCGAGACACAAGUGCAUCUGCUAGCUGUUAGCACUUGGCAGACAGAGUUCUCCUCUAGGGUAGUUCUAACUUUGGGUAAUAAUGUUUGUCAGCUACCUGAUAUUAACAUUGCUCCACGUUCAAACAGCAGUGUUAGCAAGACCUGGGGGAGAGAGCAUUGGCUGUGAUGACUACCUAGGCUCCGACAAAGUCGUGGACAAAUGUGGGGUGUGUGGAGGAGACAACACGGGCUGUCAGGUUGUGUCGGGCGUGUUUAAGCAUGCCCUCACCAGCCUGGGCUACCACCGUGUCGUGGAGAUUCCUGAGGGAGCCACGAAAAUCAACAUCACGGAGAUGUACAAGAGCAACAACUAUUUGGCCUUGCGAAGUCGUUCUGGACGCUCCAUCAUCAAUGGGAACUGGGCAAUUGAUCGACCAGGAAAAUACGAGGGUGGAGGGACCAUGUUCACCUACAAGCGUCCAAAUGAGAUUUCGAGCACUGCCGGAGAGUCCUUUUUGGCGGAAGGUCCCACCAAUGAGAUCUUGGAUGUCUACAUGAUACACCAGCAGCCAAACCCAGGCGUGCACUACGAGUACGUGAUCAUGGGGACCAACGCCAUCAGCCCCCAGGUGCCACCCCACAGGAGACCAGGAGAAUCCUUCAAUGGCCAGAUGGUGACAGAAGGCAGGAGCCAGGAGGAGGGAGAAGAGAAAGGGAGGAACGAGGAGAAGGAAGACUUGCGUGGGGAGGCCCCUGAGAUGUUCACCUCAGAAUCGGCACAGACCUUCCCAGUCAGGCAUCCAGACAGAUUUUCUCCCCGUCGACCGGACAACUUGGUGCCACCAGCACCGCAGCCCCCGCGGCGCAGCCGGGAUCACAACUGGAAGCAGCUUGGGACGACAGAAUGCUCCACGACCUGCGGGAAAGGUGAGCCUGUGUGGGGGACGGGUGGAUCCCUGCAGAACCCUAAGCAAGGAGUGUGUGGGUGGCCCAAGGCAGUGGUCCCCGGCUUUUUUGGCACCAGGGACUGGUUUCGUGGAACAUGAUUUUUCCAUGGAUGGUGGUGGGGUUGGGGGAUGGUUUCAGGAUGAAACUGCCCUAUCGCAGAUCAUCAGGCAUUAGUUAGAGUCUCAUAAG
rnacentral:sRNA from 1 species